AUGGCAGACCACCUUCAAGUUCAGCGGCAACAACUAAAGUUCCCUCAGGGGUUCAGGUUUCACCCGACGAAUGUGGAGAUCAUCACCUCCUACCUAGUCCCUAAGGUGUUGAACAAAGCAUUCGACCCCAUAGCGGUCGGGGAGGUGGACCUGAACAAAUGCGAGCCAUGGGAACUCCCCGAGAAGGCGAAAAUGGGGAUAUUCCAUAAGAGCACCGGACUCAAGAAGGUAGUGAUGUCGUCGUACGCCAUUCCCAUGCCAAUGUCCAUGGGAGCAGAGGAGCAACAUGGCUUCCUUGAAUCCGGUACAUUGCCUCCUUUCAUGGGCUAUGGUGCAUCAUCAUCGCUGGUGCCCCCGUCGUCCCUACCUGCAUCUUCUUCGUACCAGAUGCAUGACACCGGGGCCAGAUUGUCAAUGAUGGGUACUGCGGUGCUCCCGAUGAUGAACGACCACUACUUUGGGAACCACCACUACCAGAAUAUGGCUACCCCACCACGACCGUUGGUGUCGUUCUACCACCAUGACCACCACCACCAGCAGCAGCAGCAGCAACAACAACAACACAUGAUUCAAAUGUCGAUGGAGAUGCAGAUAGGUGCAGAUGAGGGCCUCAUGAUCGGGGUCGAGCCUGGGAGCGGGCCGUCAUCCAUAGUGUCGCACGAGGAUACUUUGGCCAGGUUGAGGAGCAACGACGUUGCAACAACUGCUGAUGAGAUCUCAUCAGUGAACAUGGGUACGGAUGGCAUGUGA
rnacentral:rRNA from 1 species